UACAGAGGGUGCAAACGUUGUUCGGAUUUACUGGGCGUAAAGCGCGUGUAGGCGGCUUUGCAAGUCGGAUGUGAAAUCCCACGGCUCAACCGUGGAAGUGCAUCCGAAACUGCAUCGCUGGAGUCUCGGAGAGGAAGGUGGAAUGCUUGGUGUAGAGGUGAAAUUCGUAGAUAUCUGGAGGAACACCGGUGGCGAAGGCGGCAUCCUGGACCGGCAUUGACGCUGAGGAGCGAAAGCCAGGGGAGCAAACGGG
rnacentral:rRNA from 1 species